CCGCCCCGUUUCUGUGGGGCGGGAGAACAGUCUCAACCUGGGUGCUUCUUUCAGGAGAAGGAAGGCGAGGUCCGCACACAGCAUGCUAUCAUUGGUCCCGUUCCUCUCCUGCACGGACUUGCGGGGUUUUGUUUAUUGUUGAAGAAGAGGGCGGCAGAGGAUGAGAUGGUUGGAUGGCAUCACCAACAUGAAUCUGAGCAGCUGCGGGAGCCAGAGGAGGACAGGGGAGCCUGGCCUGCUGCAGCCCAUGGGGCCGCAAAGAGCCCGCCGACUUGGCGACUGAACACCACCAGUCGUGCCCGCCGGGGUGCAGGGUGGCGCUCGCUGUUCACGUGGCUCUCCCAGAGCGCGCCUGACACGGAGCAUGACCCGAUAAAUAAACGUGACUAAGUCAA